GGAGAAGAGGGCCUGCGCUGGCUGAAGCACACUUCUCCCUUGUUCUGAACCCACACCUCAGAUCUCCUGAGACCCUCGUGCGUGCUCGUGGCCCUUGAGGCGGCACGGGGAAGCAGCGGGUAGGAGUCUGGCUUGAGAAAGAUGUCAGUAACAUCCCACCUCUCAUGCCACCCCUUAUGUUCAUUCUCUAUUUUUAUUCAUAUUCGAACAUUAUUUUAUUGUGUAUUUUCUUCGGUAAGCCUCAUUAACUCCUUUGUAGAAUGAGGCAAGAUGUAAAAACAUGAAGCUUCACAGAUUAUAUACACAAAUUAAAUGUAGCAUGUUAACGAUACAGCAUCCCGUCUUGUCCACGGGACAUACAUUCCCUCGUGCCAGUGGAGGCCUGAAACUGCAGAUAGUGCUGAACCCUAUGUAUACUAUGUUUUUCCUACACAUACAUACCUAGGAUAAAGUUUAGUUUAUAAAUUGGGCACAGUAAGAGAUUAACAACAAUAACUAAUAAUAAAUAGAACAAUUAUAAAAUAUAUUAUAAUAAAAGUUACAUGAAUUUGGUCUCUGUCAGAAUACUUUAUCAUACUGCACUCACCAUUCUCCUUGUGAUGAUGUGAGAUGACGGAAUGCCCACAUGAUGAGAUGGAGUGGGGAAUGACAUAGGCAUUGUGACUUAGCAUCAGGCUACUUGGUGACCUUCUGACAUACUCAGAAGGAGGAUCAUCUGCUUCCUGAUCGCAGUUGACAGUGGGCGGUACACCUCACUAAUCAUCGCAGAUACACUGCAGGAACUCAUGUCUCACAGACCCGUGUCUCCUACUCAACUUUCAGCUUCUAGAGCGUGGAGACCGUGUCCUACUGUCCUUUAUUUAUAGAACUUGGCCAACAACUGAUGCGUAAUAAUUGCGUAAGAAGUGAGUGCAUAAAUGAGAAUUUUUUUAAAUGGGGAGAUUAUUCAGAAUAAAUGAAAUGUAGAAUAUCAGAAUAUUUUAUAAGAAAUGGCAUUUUGGACAAGUUGUUAUUACUUAUCAGUACUUUCAGAAACACAAA